AGAACAAGUAUCGUUCGAAUAGGGCGGUACCUUGACGGUACCUAACCAGAAAGCCACGGCUAACUACGUGCCAGCAGCCGCGGUAAUACGUAGGUGGCAAGCGUUAUCCGGAAUUAUUGGGCGUAAAGCGCGCGCAGGCGGUCCUUUAAGUCUGAUGUGAAAGCCCACGGCUCAACCGUGGAGGGUCAUUGGAAACUGGGGGACUUGAGUGCAGAAGAGGAGAGCGGAAUUCCACGUGUAGCGGUGAAAUGCGUAGAGAUGUGGAGGAACACCAGUGGCGAAGGCGGCUCUCUGGUCUGUAACUGACGCUGAGGCGCGAAAGCGUGGGGAGCGAACAGGAUUAGAUACCCUGGUAGUCCACGCCGUAAACGAUGAGUGCUAAGUGUUAGAGGGUUUCCGCCCUUUAGUGCUGCAGCAAACGCAUUAAGCACUCCGCCUGGGGAGUACGGUCGCAAGACUGAAACUCAAAGGAAUUGACGGGGGCCCGCACAAGCGGUGGAGCAUGUGGUUUAAUUCGAAGCAACGCGAAGAACCUUACCAGGUCUUGACAUCCCGUGACAACUCUAGAGAUAGAGCGUUCCCCUUCGGGGGACACGGUGACAGGUGGUGCAUGGUUGUCG
rnacentral:rRNA from 1 species